rnacentral:lncRNA from 1 species
GUUGAUAUUGCUUCUAUGACGAACAAAGCAUCUAUCCUAGUUUAACUCUCUUACUAUUAAUAGGAGAGGCAAUGCAAGAAGAUACUUUGGCAGAGUUGCAGAAAAGGAUAGGAGUUUCAGUCUCCAUCUCCAAUUCCAAUACAAAGAAAAUUGUAGAUGAGUUGGAAGAUACAAAAUUAUUAGAGUUGGCAUCUAAAUUCUAAUACCGUCUAUCUGCAUGCAUGUCCAAGUUGUUUUUUAAAAUCUUUGAUUUCCUUGAGUAUGGAAUUAUUAGAAUUGGCACCUAAAUUGGUUGGAGAAGGAGCUCUCAGUAAUAAAGAGG